GGCAAACAUGAGAGCAGUCGGCAUCCUGGAAACGCAGAGAAGUGGCUUGAAUUGAAUGAAAACGCGUAUGUAUUAGUUGCGAGGCAGAAAAAGCAGGACUGCCAACAUGGAGAUGGCCAGCGCCAACACACUGAGCUUAAAAACAGCUCUUCAGAAACCUGUGGGUGACGUCACGCAUAGCAGUCCAUUCUUUAUACCAACCUGUGGGCGUAAAAACGGAAGGAGACAGGUUAGCUACAACUCCCACUGUGGAUUUUAGUAAAAAAAGAUCCAUUCCCAGAGUCAGAAACUACAGAUGUGGUCUAUACCUAUCUCCUUCAAGACUGAAAGCCCAGUGUGACUUCACCGAUUUUAAUGUGCAAGAAGAUUUUGGCUUCCAACAUGCCAGCUGACUGGGACCUUUCUGUGUGGAGUUUACAUGUUCUCUCCAUGUCUCUGUGGGUUCCAGGUGCUCCGGCUUCCUCCAACAAACAUUCAGAGUCAACAUUAUGCACAGCCCAACUUGCAGAUACCCACCAGUUCCACACCCUCAUCCAAACUAUGGUCACUACUGGCUCCAAAAAAAUCAAGAUGCAACAUCCAGCAUGCCAAACAAAUCAGUCAGUUUUCUGUGAGGUCACAGAGCAGCAGGAGACGCCUUCACCUGUAACAGGAUCCUCAGGUCAUUCUGCUGCUGAUGACAGAAAAUUGCAGCAGGUCAACUCGAGCUGUAGACCAGGUGGCUGCACUACUAUUUUUACAACAACCUCUCUGAGUCAAUCUGCAAGGACCCACUGUGAGAACAUUUAAGUAUAUUUCCAAUGAUUCUAUGUCAAAAAAUAUAUUGAUUUUACAAAUAUAUUGACAAAUAUAUUCAGGGCCAGCCCUAGGAUUUUGGUAGCCCUAAGCAACAUUUUGUGUGUGGCCCCAAAACACUCACAGGGCAACCACCAAAUCACACGCACUGCUCGUAACUGAAUGAAAACACACAUGCACUUGAAUUAACAACAAACUUUAUUUUAGAACAAUGUAUUGGUAUAUUACAAUUUUAAGAGGCUAAGACAAUUGAACAUAUUCUAAAUAAUAAAGAUGAUGUCCCUUCAGCAGCAGUCAUGUCACUCGAUGAGGUAGAUGGACCUGGUGUAGCAGAGGUCUGUCCACAGUAAUUCAAUAAUGCCCCUUUUUUUACAUAUCGGCUGGAAGAUAUGACAUAGGUAUGUCAUAUGUAUCUUCCAUAUGUAUUUAUUAACCACACAACAAAUGCAAUUUUGUCAGUGAAAUAUACAAAUUAGCUGAUUGUCCAAAUAUGUCCAAAUGAGUUUGUAUGAGAUACAAAAAUACAAUUUAACAUAGCUUGGAAAGCAAAUGGAUAGCCUGAAACUAUUUGGGCCAAUUUGGACGUUUAAUAUGUUCUGUAUUAAAAUAAUAUAUCAAAACACAAAUUUAAUGUUGCAAUAAAACAUUAGUAGCUAGUUAACAAGUAAAACUAGACCCCUACACAUGUUAUUCCUAGCCUCUGGUAUUGUUGCUUCAGCACAUAGAAAAAUGAAUAUUAUUGAUGUGAUGUGUGAAUGAGUAUACCACCAAGGCAAAAGAAACUAACAUUUACAUUAUACACAGAUGUUAAAUACUGUCAUAGGUCAUCUUUUCUCAUAUCAAGUGUAGUGAGGGCUAAAUAAUACAUAACAGUGCUUCUGCAUCCUAAAAUAAAAUGGAUUGAUUGACUAUAUAAUAUCACAAAGGAUUUGUCCUUAUUUAAACAUACUGUUUUUGAACUGCUUGGAAGUCUGUUCAUAGUCCAUUCUUCAUUCAAAGCUG